rnacentral:rRNA from 1 species
AUUGAACGCUGGCGGCAGGCCUAACACAUGCAAGUCGAACGAGUGGCGGACGGGUGAGUAAUGUCUGGGAAACUGCCCGAUGGAGGGGGAUAACUACUGGAAACGGUAGCUAAUACCGCAUACCAUCGGAUGUGCCCAGAUGGGAUUCGCUAGUAGGUGGGGUAACGGCUCACCUAGGCGACGAUCCCUAGCUGGGCUUAGAGGAUGACCAGCCAAACUUGAACUGAGACACGGGCCAGAUUCCUACGGGAGGCAGCAGGGGGGAAUAUUGCACAAGGGGCGCAAGCCUGAUGCAGCCAUGCCGCGUGUAUGAAGAAGGCCGUCGGGUUGGAAAGUACUUUCAGCGAGGAGGCGUUACUCGCAGAAGAAGCACCGGCUAACUCCGUGCCAGCAGCCGCGGUAAUAC